GCACUUGAAGAAGACAACUCGUGUGGAAAACGUGCUACCGUUUUAAGAUUGGCUCUGAGGUCUCACUUAGAUUUCUUGUUUUCUUCACAUAUGAUCGUGUAAUCUCUGGGGACACUAUUUGACUGAAGAAUGGCAGAACCUCUGAAGCUGAGAGUCAUCGUGGAAGAUGAUGAUUUUAGGAGGCUUGACCUCCCCUUAGGAAUGCCAAAAACUUUGACAGAAUUACACAGUGCUGUUUGCC